rnacentral:snRNA from 1 species
UGGCGGUUGACGGCAACGUUAG